CCUACGGGAGGCUGCAGUGAGGAAUAUUGGUCAAUGGACGAGAGUCUGACCCAGCCAAGUAGCGUGAAGGAUGACUGCCCUAUGGGUUGUAAACUUCUUUUAUAUGGGAAUAAAAUGUUCCACGUGUGGGAUUUUGUAUGUACCAUAUGAAUAAGGAUCGGCUAACUCCGUGCCAGGAGCCGCGGUAAUACGGAGGAUCCGAGUGUUAUCCGGAUUUAUUGGGUUGAAAGGGAGCGUAGGGGGAUUGUUAAGUCAGUUGUGAAAGUUUGCGGCUCAACCUUAAAAUUGCAGUUGAAACUGGCAGUCUUGAGUACAGUAGAGGUGGGCGGAAUUCGUGGUGUAGCGGUGAAAUGCUUAGAUAUCACGAAGAACUCCGAUUGCGAAGGCAGCUCACUGGACUGCAACUGACACUGAGGCUCGAAAGUGUGGGUAUCAAACAGGAUUAGAUACCCGAGUAGUC
rnacentral:rRNA from 1 species